rnacentral:rRNA from 1 species
UACGUAGGGUGCGAGCGUUGUCCGGAAUUACUGGGCGUAAAGAGCUCGUAGGUGGUUUGUCGCGUUGUUCGUGAAAACUCACAGCUCAACUGUGGGCGUGCGGGCGAUACGGGCAGACUGGAGUACUGCAGGGGAGACUGGAAUUCCUGGUGUAGCGGUGGAAUGCGCAGAUAUCAGGAGGAACACCGGUGGCGAAGGCGGGUCUCUGGGCAAUAACUGACGCUGAGGAGCGAAAGCGUGGGGAGCGAACAGG